UGGUCAUUACCAAGGCUUUUAGAAUGCAGUUUCUGAUUUGCUGUGGACUUGACCAUAAAAAAACUUCCCACUAGGUUUUCUCUUUUGCUACCUUGCUAGCAUUCAACCGAUUGGGAACAUUU